ACAACUCGUAUAUCACAAUCGCACCACAGUGUGUAUAUAAGGGAGAUUCCAGAGGCGCUCAUGUUCUCGCAUGGGCUUUUGUUAAGGGUAAAUACCUUGGCGAAUAAGGGGUGGGUAAGACUGGUGCCAGCCGCCGCGGUAACACCAGCGCCUCAAGUGGCAAUCGUGUAUUUGGCCUAAAGCGUCCGUAGCUGGCUGAGUAAAUUUCCUGUGAAAUCGGCCGACUCGAUCGGUCGACGUGCAGGAAAGACUGCUUGGUUUGAGACCGGGAGGGGUCGGAAGUAUGUCGGGGGGAGCGGUAAAAUGUUAUAAUCCCCGAUGGACUACCAAUGGCGAAGGCAUCCGACCAGAACGGAUCUGACAGUGAGGGACUAAAGCUGGGGGAGCAAUCCGGAUUAAAUACCCGAGUAGUCCCAGCCCUAAACGCUGCGAGCCAGGUGUUGCGUAAUCUUCAGGAUUACGCAGUGUCGAAACGAAGGUGUUAAGCUCGCCGCCUGGGAAGUACGGUCGCAAGAUUGAAACUUAAAGGAAUUGGGGGGGGAAAGGGCGAAUUCUUUUAAACCUGCAGGACUAGUCCCUUUAGUGAGGGUUAAUUCUGAGCUUGGCGUAAUCAUGGUCAUAGCUUUUUUCCGGA
rnacentral:rRNA from 1 species